CCUACGGGUGGCAGCAGUGAGGAAUAUUGGUCAAUGGGCGGAAGCCUGAACCAGCCAAGUCGCGUGAGGGAAGAAGGUACUUAGUAUUGUAAACUUCUUUUGUCGGGGAACAAAGGCGGAGACGCGUCUCCGGAUGAGUGUACCCGAAGCAAAAGCAUCGGCUAACUCCGUGCCAGCAGCCGCGGUAAUACGGAGGAUGCGAGCGUUAUCCGGAUUUAGUGGGUUUAAAGGGUGCGCAGGCGGGAGAUCAAGUCAGCGGGAAAAUGUCGGGGCUCAACCCCGGCCGGCCGUUGAAACUGGUUGUCUAGAGUUGGAGAGAGGUAUGCGGAAUUCGUGGUGUAGCGGUGAAAUGCAUAGAUAUCACGAAGAACUCCGAUUGCGAAGGCAGCAUACCGGCUCCAUACUGACGCUGAGGCACGAAAGCGUGGGGAUCGAACAGGAUUAGAUACCCUAGUAGUC
rnacentral:rRNA from 1 species